rnacentral:tRNA from 1 species
GCCUUUGUGGUGUAACGUUUAACACACUCGACGCGUAUUCGAAAGGUCUAGGUUCGAGUCCAGGCGAGGGUA